CUGCCCGUAGCAUAAUUGGAUAAUGCACUUGAUUCCGAUUCAAGCGAUUGGGGGUUCAAAUCCCUUCGGGCAGACCA
rnacentral:tRNA from 1 species